ensembl:rRNA 5S_rRNA 5S ribosomal RNA
GUCUGUAACCAUACCAUCCUGGAUGUGUCUGAUCUUGUCUGAUCUCAGAAGCUAAGCAGGGUUGAUCCUGGUUAGGAUUUGAAUGGGAAAAAGAAGCAAAUAAAAAAGUGGCAUGGCU